GAUGAACGCUAGCGGCAGGCUUAACACAUGCAAGUCGAGGGGCAGCAUAAAUAGUAGCAAUACUAUUGGUGGCGACCGGCGGACGGGUGCGUAACGCGUAUACAACCUUCCCUAAACAGGGGGAUAAUCUGGAGAAAUUCGGUCUAAUACCCCAUAACAUCAGAGCAGGCAUCUGUUUUGGUUAAAAUUUCCGGAGGUUUAGGAUGGGUAUGCGUAGCAUUAGCUAGUUGGUGAGGUAACGGCUCACCAAGGCGACGAUGCUUAGGGGGACUGAGAGGUUAACCCCCCACACUGGAACUGCGACACGGACCAGGCUCCUACGGGAGGCAGCAGUGAGGAAUAUUGGUCAAUGGGCGGAAGCCUGAACCAGCCAUGCCGCGUGCAGGAUGACGGCUCUAUGAGUUGUAAACUGCUUUUGUACGAGGGUAAAGUGGGCUACGUGUAGCCUUUUGAAAGUAUCGUACGAAUAAGGAUCGGCUAACUCCGUGCCAGCAGCCGCCGUAA
rnacentral:rRNA from 1 species